CGAGGAUUCCCAUAGUAACGGCGAGUGAACAGGGAAGAGCCCAGCGCUGAAUCGCUUGAUCACUGAUCAUUGCGAAAUGUAGCGUAUAGGUGUAACUGUUCGGUGAUUUUUACACUUACCCAAAGUUCCCUUGAGUGGGGCUAUAAUCCAUAGAGGGUGCUAGGCCUGUACGGGUAGGUGGAUAGAUUGCUGAAACUGGUUACACUUCAGAGUCGAGUUGCCUGGGAACGCAGCUCAAAGUAGGUGGUAAACCUCAUCUAAGGCUAAAUAUGACUACGAGACCGAUAGCGAACAAGUACCGUGAGGGAAAGUUGCAAAGAACUUUGAAGAGAGAGUUCAAGAGGGCGUGAAACCGCUGAGAAGGAAGCGGAUAGAGUUGACGAAACACAAUGGCACUCAUCCAAUCAGCGUUAUUGAAUGCCAUACAAUUGUACUUGCUAUACUUGCUUUUAGUAGGCAAUUGUGUGGUAGCUAGAAAAUUUCAAUAGCUGUUCGGUUGGUGCUUUUGCCAUUGUGAUAAGCGCUGAGAGGCUCGCUAUGAUGUGCCGAAGCUGAAGUAAAGAGGACCAUUGUUCUUUGUUGACUAUGGAAACCAUUUUUAAACAGCGCAAUUCUGUUGUGCAUAUUCAUAGUGAGUUACGCAAGCUUUGAAAUCGCUCGCUAGUUCUGUAGCGCAAUCCUUCUAUUAUGUAAUUGUGAAGAUGAUUAUAAAGCUGAGUGGCUCGCUUUCACUACUUUAUAAUUUAUUUUUCCAGUUCAUUGAUAGUUGUUGUUGCGCUGGCGAUUUUAUCUCAGUGUAAAAGUCGACCACCUAUCCGA
rnacentral:rRNA from 1 species